GCGAGCGGAGCUUGGCUGGGCGUGUCAGCAGACUGGGGCGCGAGCAGAGCUUGGCUGUGCGUGUCCACAGACUGGGGCGCGAGCAGACCUUGGCUGGGCGUGUCAGCAGACUGUGGCGUGAGCGGAACUUGGCUGGGCCUGUCGGCAGACCGGCGCGUGAGCAGAACUUGGCUCUCAGGGACAUGAAGCUUGGCUUGGGCGUCAGAGCCUGGAGGCUUGGCUUGGGCAUCAGAGCCUGGAGGCUUGGCUUGGACAUAAGAGACUGGAGGCUUGGCUUGGACCUCAGGGAGGUGAGACUUGACUUGGACUUGGAUCUCAGGGACUUGAGGCUUGACUUGGAUCUAAGGGGCUUGAGGUUUGGCUUGGAGCUCAGGGACUGGAGGCUUGGCUUGGAGCUCAGGGACUGGAGGCUUGGCUUGGAGCUCAGGGACUGGAGGCUUGGCUUGGAGCUCAGGGACUGGAGGAUUGGCUUGGAGCUCAGGGACUGGAGGCUGGACCUGGAGCUCAGGGACUGGAGGCUGGACCUGUAGCUCAGGGGCUGGCGGCUGGACCUGGAGCUGAGGGGCUGGCGGCUGGACCUGGAGCUCAGGGACGUGAGACUUGACUUGGAUCUCAGG
ensembl:lncRNA